rnacentral:rRNA from 1 species
UAGGGAAUCUUCGGCAAUGGACGGAAGUCUGACCGAGCAACGCCGCGGGAGUGAAGAAGGUUUUCGGAUCGUAAAGCUCUGUUGUUAGAGAAGAACGUUGGUAGGAGUGGAAAAUCUACCAAGUGACGGUAACUAACCAGAAAGGGACGGCUAACUACGUGCCAGCAGCCGCGGUAAUACGUAGGUCCCGAGCGUUGUCCGGAUGUAUUGGGCGUAAAGCGCGCGCAGGCGGUUCUUUAAGUCUGAAGUUAAAGGCAGUGGCUUAACCAUUGUACGCUUUGGGAAAUGGAGGACUUAGAUGCAGAAGGGGGGAGUGGAAAUCGAUGUGUAGCGGUGAAAUGCGUUGAUAUAUAGAGGAAAACCGGUGGCGAAAGCGGCUCUCUGGUCUGUAACUGGCGCUGAGGCUCGAAAACGUGGGGAACAAACAGG